UAAGAUUUUAAGUUAAAAUAAACUAUUUACCUUCAAAGUAAAAAAUAUUAAAAAUAAAUCUUAU
rnacentral:tRNA from 1 species